GUCUUGCUUUCUGAGGUCACCUGAACCAGUUCUGAAGAGCUAAUAGACUGGAGCAGGACCAGUACUGGCCCACGGCCUGUUGGAAAUCACGACACAAAGCAGAAGGGAUUCUGUGAGGAUUCCAGGGAUAAAACAUUAAACAGUAUUGCUUGGAGUUCUCUGAAGAGAGAUGCCAGCGGAACAAAGGACACUGUAAUUAAUGCUCUCAGUAACUUACAA